UUCAGGCUCUGCGCCAUGGCCGCGCCGCAACGCGAGCCCCAACGGGAAGGACACCGGAAACUGCCGCCGCCACCGCCGCCUUCCGCCGCGCUCCGGAACUGAUCCCGGGGGGAGGAGGAGGAAGAGGCAGGGCGCCAUCUUGGGUGGCUGCUCGCCAGCAUUGGCGGCGCUCGCGGUCACGCUGCGUCGCGAGGCUCAGACAAAAUGGCGGCGCCCAGGCGGCCGCGUGAAGAGAAGGAGCGGGAGGAGGAUGAUGAUGAUGCUCCGCUGGAAGCGAAACGUGUGCGGGGGCAGCGGCGGCUCCUGGUGGUGCUGGAAGGGGCGAGUCUGGAGACGGUGAAGGUGGGGAAGACGUUCGAGCUCCUCAAUUGCGACAAGCAUAAGGCGCUGCUGCUCAGGAGCGGACGGGACCCCGGGGAGGUGCGGCCCGACAUCACACACCAGAGUCUUCUCAUGCUCAUGGAUAGCCCUCUGAAUAGAGCUGGCCUUCUGCAAGUUUACAUCCAUACCCAGAAGAAUGUUUUAAUUGAAGUGAAUCCUCAGACCAGGAUCCCGAGAACUUUCGAUCGAUUCUGUGGCCUUAUGGUUCAGUUGCUGCAUAAGCUCAGUGUUCGAGCAGCUGAUGGUCCUCAGAAAUUGUUGAAGGUCAUUAAAAAUCCAGUCAGUGACCACCUACCUGUGGGCUGUAUGAAGAUCGGUACCUCUUUUGCUGCUCCAAAUGUGACAGAUCUGCGUGAACUGGUUCCUAAAGCAGAGCCCGUAACCAUUGUUGUGGGAGCUUUUGCCCACGGUUCAGUAAGUGCAUGUAGCCUUUUUACUUGGGAGCUGUAAAUAUCUUUAUGAACGUAGAUUUUAGUGCCCCUCUUGAGGUUGGUUUGUUUGUUUUUCUUUUAGACUAAUCUAUUCUUUGGGAACUUCCCCCCCAACCCCUUCUCUGUUAAGAAACUGCCCAGCCUUGUAAUAGUUGGGCCUGUCAUUGAAGAGAGGGCUAUCAAUUGCUCUGAAGAGAUUUAAAGUGGCAAUAUUAAGUCUCGAAUGAAACAUGGUCAUAUAGGAGCAAUGAUGUGCCUUUGAAACUGAUGGAAGUAGAUGGGAUUUGAAAUGAUAGUAU